AAUUUUGGGAAGUCGGUCUUGAUCUCUCCUGACCGCUAGGAGGCGCACUUCGGAGUAGAGGAAACAAGGGCGGAAAUAGCCCAAACGCUAGAUUGGCUUCAACUUCUGGCGGAAGUAGGUUCUUCCCUACACCAGGUCUCAACUCAGAAAGAAUUCCAACUUUCUACCUAGUGCCAAGGGCAGGACCCGGAGCCGGAAGUGCUUUCCUUUUCCCUGUCAGAACCCAGAGGUUACCUCCCAUCAGCUCCCCCGCUCUCUCAUCCGCUCUCUCUUCCUUGGUGCUUCUUUUUCCUGCUCGGUGAGUUUGUUUGUUUGUUUGUUUGUUUUUGAGACAGCGUCUCACUCUGCUUCCCAGGCUGGAGUGCAGUGGUGCGAACUCAGCCUACUGCAGCCUCCGCUUCCCGGGUUCAAGCGAUUCUCCUGCCUCAGCCUGCCAAGUAGCUGGGACUACAGGCGCCCACCACCACGCCUGGCUAAUUUUUGAAUUUUUAGUAGAGAGUGGGUUUCACUAUGUUGGCCAGGCUGGUCUCGAACGCCUGACCUCAAGUGAUCCGUCCGCCUUGGACUUCCAGAGUUCUGGGAUUACAGGCGUGAGCCACCGCGCCUGGCCUGGGUGAGUCUUAAUCCGUGGCCAUCUGCGUUCCUGCAGGCUUCAUCUGGCCCUGGUAAGGAGGCCUUCCCUACCACUCGGUGUCUGUGGGUAUUGUCGGCUUGCUGGAGCGCGUACACGAACAGAGUGAAGCAGGCAGCCGGGGCGGUGGUUGGGCUUUGCGUCUGUUGACGAAAAGAGUCAAACUGUAUAAAGCAUUUGAAGAGACUUAUGCUGAGUCCAGUAUGAGUGACCAUGGCCCGUGACAAAGCCCUCAGGAAGUCCUGAGAACAUGUGCCCAAGGUGGUUGGGGUGCAGCUUGGUUUUGUACAUUUUAGGGAGGUGUGUUGGGGGGCCUGGUCCGGGCUGUUGGUAGAUUUGACAAUUGGUUGAGUUUGUCUAAAGACCUGGAAUCAACAAAAAGGAAUGCCUGGGUUCAGAUAAGGGGUUGUGGAGACCAAGGUUCUUAUUUAUGCAGAGGAAGCCUCCAGGUAGCGGGCUUCAAAGAGACUAGAUUGUAAAUGUUUCUUAUCAGGCCUGAAAAGGUGCCAUACUCUUAGUGGAGCCUCUCCUGGCUCAGGGAGAAGACCUGGAAAGGGAGGGGGAUUCACUACAGAAUGUAGAUUGUCCCCACAAGAGACAGCUUUACAGGACAAUGUCAGAAUAUGUCAAAGAAAUAUAUUUUUAGGUAAAGUACUUCUGUUUCUUUCAGGGCCUGCAAUCUGUCAUGUGAUGCUAUGCUAGAGUCAGGUUGGAAUUUGUUGUCUUAUUGCUACAAAGUUUGUUUUGUUAGUCUUGCGAUCUCUUUUAAUGCUAAUGCUGGUCAGCUGUGCCUGAAUUCCAUAGGGAGAAGGGCAUAAUGAGGCAAGUUCGACCCCGUAUUCCCAUUAUGGCUUGAACUAGUUUUUCAGGUUAACUUUGGAAUGCCCUUGGCCAAGAGCAAGAGUCCAUUCAGUUGGGUGGGGGGCUUAGAAUUUAAUUUUUGGUUUAUACCGUGCUUACUGAUGUUGGCCCACGUGCAUUCAUUCAUUGCCAUGGCCCCACGUUCCUUUCCUUCUAGUCUGUGACCCUAGGGCCGCUAUAGUGGGACUGCAAAAAAAAAAAAAAAAGAUGGGGUGCAGGUCAGCUCACUCAGUUGUUAACAGAGAUUCUGAUCGUCAGAGCUCUGGGAAUAUAAAGAUGAAACUUCCCCCUUGCCUUCGAGGAUAUCGUGGGCCAGAAGGCAAAGUUGUUUUGAAUACGUGGUUCAUUGAGUACCCACUCUGUGCCAAUUGAUGGCUGCGAAGAGAACAGAAGGGGUGCUGUUGUAGGAAAUAAAUGAAUGGCUGAGAAGACCACACUGAGGAAGGUGUGAGUUGAUAUUGGAAGAUCUCCAGGUUUGAGGCAUCCUUAGAGGGAUAUGAUGGUUUUGUGUGUGUUGGGGGUGUGGUAGCGCAGCAGCUUCCUAAGGAAUUAGAAGGUUUUCUUUAUUGAACGUUUACCCUGUGACAGGCACUGCAGGCAUUCAGCAUACAAUGUCAUCUCCAUUUUACAGGUGAGGAAACUGAGACUCCCGUUCAAGUAAAUGGUCAAGGCCAGUACUACCCAGAAGGACCAUCUAGGGGUUCGGACACUGGCGGGGUGGGAUUUGCUGCCCCUUGCAAAUUGAGGGUGUCUUGGGGUCGGUUUUGGUUUGCUCAGCUGUUGGCAUUCUUUGGGCUCUGAGUGGGUGAGGUGACCCUUGACCUCCUGGGAUCGCGUCACCUCCCAAGGUGCUGGGAUUACAGACAUGAGCCACCACGCCUGCACAAGAACAGCAGGUUUAAAAAACUAAGCAAGCUCACGCCUGUAAUCCCAGCACUUUUGGGAGGGCGAGGUAGGCGGAGCACAAGGUCAGGAGAUCGAGACCAUCCUGGCUGACACGGUGAAACCCCGUCUCUACUAAAAAUACAAAAAAAAAAAAUAGGCAAGCAGAGGCAGCAGGGGCAGUCUGUGUGGGUGCAGGGGCAGUCUCUGUGUGUGCGCAGGGGUAGUCUCUGUGUGUGUGAGUGUGUGUGUGUGCAAGGGCAGUCUGUGUGUGUGCAGGGGCCGUCUGUGUGUGUGUGUGUGUGUGUACAGGGGCAGUCUGUGUGUGCAGGGGCCAUCUCUGUGUGUGUAUGUGUGUGUGUGCAGGGGCAGUCUGUGUGUGUGUGCAGGCGCUAGCUCUGUGUGUGUGUGUGUGCAGGGGUAGUCUGUGUGUGUUCAGGGGCCAUCUCUGUUUGUGUGUGUGUGUGUGUGUUCAGGCGCUAGCUCUGUGUGUGUGUGUGUGCAGGGGUAGUCUGUGUGUGUUCAGGGGCCGUCUCUGUGUGUGUGUGUGUGUGUGUGUGUGUGUGUGUAUGCAGGGGAAGUCUGUGUGUAUGCAGGGGCCGUCUCUGUGUAUAUGUAUAUGUGUGUGUAUAUGUGUGUGUGUGUGUGUGUGUGCAGGGGUAGUCUCUGUGUGUGUGUGCAGGGGCAGUGUGUGUGUGUGUGUGUGUGUGUGUGUGUGCAGGGGCAGUCUCUGUGUGCGUGUGUGCAAAGGCAGUCUGUGUGUGUGUGUGUGCGUGUGUGUGCAGGGGCAGUCUCUGUGUGUGUGUGUGUGCGCGCGCAGGGGCAGUCUGUGUGUGCAUGUGUGUCUGUGUGUGUGUGUGCAGGGGCAGUGUGUCUGUGUGUGUGUGGCCUCCUUUCAGCUCCUGGGAAGGGGCUUCUGAUCCUCUGUCAACAUCAAAGGAGCUGAGCCUUGAUAACCUAUCUCAGCCUCCUGGUCUGAAUGCAAAGCCAUCGGACUCUCUUCCUGGGGCAUUUGGUUAUGUAAAGCCCUGCGCCAGGUUCCCAGAGUGGGUGCUUCAGCUUUGGGCAGCAGUGGGUCCUAUCUCUGGGAACACCGACAGUGACUCCUUGUGUCAGGCAGGUGGGCGUCAGAGUGUCCUCAUUUCAUAAACGGGGACAUUCAGAGGCCUUUGGCCCUUGCCCAACGUCCUGAGGCCAGAGAGCAGUGGAGUGAGCCUAGCCGUCCACAGGCUGUCCCGCCCACGUGCUCAGGAUGCAGGGACUCACCGUAGGAAGAGGCGGAGAAGAUGAAGAGCUGGCAGCAGUUGAUGCAGACGUUGCCCAGGUUGUUGAGCAGCGGGUUGUUGGUGGAGCAGCAGUAGCAUAAGGGCACCAACUCCUACAAAACAGCCACAGACUCCCGAGGGGCCGGGGCAGGCACAUGUCCUUCUCCCCCUGGACUCUGGCUUCGGGCCCCUGGAACCUGGCUGCCAAGAGGAAAGGCCAGCCGGGUGGGCAGGCAGGGAAGGGGCGCCGGGCCCAGGGGCUCCAUGCCAUGGGGAAGCAGGAUAAAGGCCUGCCGAAAUACCCAAGCCCUGUCACUUGGGUCCCUGAGAGGUGGGCACGAUUAUUUCCAUCUUACAGAUGAGAAGAAUAAAGUCGGGUGAAGGUGAAGCAUCCAGCCCAAGACUCAGCAGCCAGGAAGUGGCCCAGUGCUCUUUAUACCAUGGGUGCAGGAAUUCUCACAGAAAAGUGGAGGCCAAGGUGUGAGAAUUCCUCAAUGACUGCCCUCUAAAGGAAGAGGACCAGCUCCCACCUGAAGACACCGAUUCUUGGCGGCUCCUGACAAGGAUUGAGAGGAUUUGUGGGAGACAGCCCUGAAGCCCUGAGCCCUCAACUCAAUGAAGGGAUUGUGCUGGUGUAGACCCACAGCCGUCCAGCUCUGUCACUGAUGAAGGUUCCCGCUGGGAAUGCUUGACAACAAAAGCAGGCUUUUACCAGACAAGCAAAGAUCAAAAAAAGAUGCAAACCUUUGUUUGUUUAAUGGAAAUUCCUCAGGGUUGCUUUCCUGUGUAUUCCAAGGCUAUGACGGAAUAGUUUGAAUAGUGUGUGCUCUGACUCACCCAUGACCCCUAAGCUCCCAAGAUCUCCCAAAUCCGCAGGCCCCGUUUGGCAGAGUUGUGGCUCAUGGGGAUGACAGAGCAGGAGAAUGUUUAGGGUUUCUGCCCAAGAGGGAGACCAAUAACAUAGGAUGACAAGUCUUACUAUGUCCCUACUUUUAAAGAGAAGGUAAGAAAUCCCACAUGCUGAACAUCCACUAGGUUCUGGGUAUAUAGUUUAUAGACACAUGGCCCCUUUAUUCCUCUCAGUGACCCUCAGGGUAGGUCUCACUACCCAAGUGUUAGAGUCAAGGACGCUGAGACUCAAGAAGAGGAACAGGUCAGGGUCAGACAGAGCUGGAAUUUGGACGCAGUUGUGUCUGACUCCAGAUAUUCCUUGUAUCACAUAAUGUAGUCUUUUGAAGCAAGUGAUGUCCCCAACCACACACACACACACACAUACACUUAGCACAGCUAGGAUAAAGCUUCUUCCUUCUGUGUCAGGGAACAUUCACUUGUCUACAGCUCGAGUAUUUGUAAACACUCAGUAGCACCCAAACCCUGAGCCCUAGCAGUUUCCUUUUGCUUGUUUACUAGCAAGAGUAGCAUAUCGGAGGACGAUGAGACAUUGAAUCAAACUCUUAGACAAGCUGAUGAAAGUUUUAACGACUGGAGGCAACAUGCUUCCACACUGACAGAAAUCAUCUUUCAGAAAUCCUGCACAUAUUUCAGGCUUAUGAAACAAACUAAUUCCUAAUAGUUGGAAAUGAAUUAAAAGCUUGCAGUGAGAUAAAAGAGAUUUUGGCUGGAUGUGAUGACUCAUGCCUGUGAUCCCUGCACUUUAGGAGGGCACAGCAGGAGGAUCGCCUGAGCCCAGGAAUUCAAGACCAGCCUGGUCAACAUAGCAAGACUAUCUCUGCAAAAAAAAAACAAAAAAACAAAAAAAAACCUCCCAAAAAAAAGGUUUUACUAGGCAUGAAAAUGAGUCCAUAUCCAUUCUAGGCCCCAGGAUGUCACCAUGACCAAUAAAAACGAUCUAUGGCACUCAGCAGGUGCAUGUCAACAUGGGCAGUUUCUUUCCCCCUGUCAGCAGGACAAGAACAUCUCCCCUAUCCAAAAGGCACCCACUGAGGAUCCACAGUUCUCUGGAAUUAUGCUGAGCACCCAGAUGUUUGCAACUAAGCCCUGAGCAGUCGAUGUGGAGCGCACUUGAAGGCACUUCAUUUUUUUUUAAGAUACACUUUUAGGAAUUUACUUUAACCCACUUCCCAGCUCAUAGCACACAAGGAGAGGCAGAUAUUUUGACCUUGGUAAGACCUGACAAGUGACAAUAGUUGGACCCCACAGCAACCAGUUACUUUUGUAGAGAGGAAAAUUAUGCUCCUUGGCUUCAGUUGAAGACCCCUAGAUCCAGGCCAGUGGAUUUACAAGUGAGAAUCAGCAGCACUGGGCAUUUCGGGCAAUAGCUCUGAACAAGCCCUUUACCAUGCGGGUAGGUAAACCCUAGAAUAUACAGACGCCCCUUACGACACAUGGGUGGGGAGGGUACAUGGCAGAGAGAGCGUAAGCUUAGGAGACAGAGUGGAUUUGAAUUCCACUGAGCUUUUGGCUGUGGACCCAUGGGGACGUGGCAUAUGUCUCGCUGAGCCUUAGUUUCCUCCUGCAUGUAAUAGGGAGAGCAACAGUACGUGCCUCAUUCAGUUAACGUGAGGAUCUAGAGCAGCAUUCGCAUAAAUGACACAUGAGGCACAGAGCAGACUCAACACAGAGCAGCUUAUGUUAUGAGGCUUAGCAGGCUGUGAGCUCCUGUCAGCCUCUCUCCUCAGCUCUGUGCCCACUGAGCUCGGCACAAGGCUUGGCCCAUGACAGGUGUUUAUUAUGUGGAAAUAAAUGAGAGGGACAAGACAUUUGCUGAUUUCCUCCUGUUUCCAGCUGGGAAUUCAAAUGUAUCUCACAUUCCCAUACCCUCACAAUAAAUCUGUUGAGGAGAAAAAAUGUGUACGCCUUUUAACAGACAGCACUGAGAUACACAGAAAGUAAGAACUUUCUGUCUAAGGGCAGGGCGUGGUAGCUCAAGUCUAUAAUGCUAGUACUUUGGAAGGCUAAAGUGAGCUAAUUGCUUGAGCCCAGGAAUUUGAAACCAAACUGGGCUACAUGGCAAAACCCUGACAAUACAAAAAAUACAAAUAAAAUUAACCAGGCGUGGUGGUGCGCACAUGUGGUCCCAGCUACUUGGGAGGCUGAGGUGUGAGGAUUGCUUGAUCCCAGGAGGUCUAGGCUUCAGUGAGCCAUGAUUGUGCCACUGCACCCUGGCCUGGGGAACAGAGUGAGACCCUGUCUCAAAAAAAAAAAGAGAAUAAAAAGAAUGGUGUCUACCACCACCCAGCGCCCAGUGGAGGCCUAUUGGGUUUGGAUGACAAGCUGAAUAUUCUCAGCCAGGAACAGUAGGGCUGGGAGUUGCCCCAGAACUCUGGGGUGCUCAGUUCAGACCGUGGGCCUUGCUCCCCAGGUCCAUUUCUGGGGAAUGGAGCUCAGCUCAUGUGCAUUUGGGAAACUCCUCCAACACUAUCAGAUUACUGGAGUCUGAGAGGAUGGUGACCAGCUAUCCGCCACCAGGAGGAUGCAAACCAGUUCCUGAGAACCUACUGAAUCCUCACAGCAGCCUGUGAUGUACGUCCAAUCCCUUUUCACAGACAAGAAACCCAACCCUGGAGAGAUUGGGAACCCAUCUGCCUCAGUCAGUUACCACGUGACAGCUCACACUGCCCACUGCUGUCUCCCCGUGUGUGGCCACUCUGCCCCUGGAGCAAGGCUAUGGCCCAGACGCCAGUGAGCUCUGCUCCCAUGUCCUCAGGGCUUUUGCCUGCUGACAUGGUUUGGCUGUAUCCCCACCCAAAUCUCAUCUUGAAUUCCCGUGUGUUGUGGGAGGGACUCAGUGGGAGGUAAUUGAAUCAUGGGGCAAGUCUCUCCCAUGCUGUUCUCGUGAUAGUAAGUCUCACGAGAUCUGAUGGUUUUAAAAAGAGGAGUUCCCCUGCACAAGCUCUCUAUUUGCCUGCUGCCAUCCAUAUAAGCUGUGACUUGCUCUUCCUUGCCUUCUGCCAUGAUCAUGAGGCUUCCUUAGCCAUGUGGAACUGCAAGUCUAAUUAGACCUCUUUCUUUUGUAAAUUGCCCAGUCUCACUUACAUCUUUUCCAGCAGCGUGAAAAUGAACUAAUACACCUGCCACAAGGGCUGCCCCUGAACCCCAAACCCCAAGUCCACUUUCUUGACAAGUAAGAAUGCUUCAACUUUUACCUCAAUGCUGCUGAUGAGGUCUUGUACUCUCAUGAAGGCCUGUGGGGAAAAAAUAAAGAAGAAAAUCAGCUGCCUUCUUGGCUUCAAAAGUGGGUGAUUGGCUGGGGGUGGGAAGUCAAGCUCACCUAGACAGUGAGCCAGUAAGGAGAGGAAGGGAGCAAGCACGGAUUAAUCAUCAUGCAUGCAAGAGGUUAUACCACCCAGCGAGGCGCGGCUUUAUCCCCGAAAUUGGACCAUGCAAAGAACAGCAAAGACAUCCCGGUUGCAUCAGUCAUUUUGGGAUCAGGUAAAACAAAACCAUGAUGUCACAGUCUGUGGCGGUGCCUCCUUGGGAGACUCUAGACCCAAAGAAGAACAAGCCGGUUUGACACUUGGUGGGUGGGGGUGAGCAGGCAGCAUCACAGCAGGAGAGGAUGAGAUGCAUGGACUGAUGAGAGACUGCCUGCACAUCUUGGCAACAUGGGUAGAAUGCAGGGGACAGCUGUGCCUACCCAGUGGUGCCACAGACACAGGGGACCCAGAGCCCCUGGUACCACAGAAGGAGCGGAGGAGGGGAAAGCUGAGAGGGUAUAAAGACAGAUUCUGGAAGAAGGUGGAGGGGUAGGGAAUGAAUCCCACCAAGUCUGUGGAAGGCAAACGCUUAUGUAAAUCCUAAAAUUGCAGCCCUUGCCUUGAACUCACAGUAAAGCCAGAGACUUUAACUCAUGGACCUCUAGAAGUUUCUGAGGAACAAGCAGACUGGUGUUAGCUAAGCUAGUUUUGCUGCUUUCAGAUUCUGCCCAGGGUUUGGAGGAGCACGAGCCACCAGGUCAGGCUGCUUUCAGGUGGCUUUGCUGUCACCAUUUAUUGCCCCAUUCAAAAUGGGCUGACCUGUGCCUAGAGGAGGCAGCAGCUCCGAAGCCCUUUGAACCAAACACACAGAGCAGUCCUGACCACUUGCAGCCUCCGCUCAGCAACAUGGCAUCUUCCCUCCUGAAAAGACCUCAGGAGAUGAGUGAAUCCCCGGCCUCUGGCUGCCUUGCAGGUGACCACAAUGCAGCUUCAUCUUUUCAUCCCACAGGACCAGGCUUCCUGUCAAGAGACUGAGGACCCAGGGAGAAACAUGUCUCGGCCCCUGUCCCCCUCCACAAUUCAGAGGUCCACAUUCUAACAGGGAAAGCUGGUCAAUUAAACAGAUCAUGACACCUGGAGCUAAGAGCUCUCCAACUACGAACCAGAUGCCUGGAGAACACGGAUGAAUGGUCUAAGCAUGAGCAGGGGUGGGAGGCAGUGUUAAGUGAGGCAUCAGAGUCAGAACCUGGCAAACAAGUGUUUGUGAAGAGGAAUUCGUAGAAAAGGGCAAUGUGGGCAUCACAUGGGCUAAGGAACAGAGGAGUAGCAGUAGCUGUUGUGCCAAGCUGCAGGUGUUAUACACUACCUUCUAGAUCUGGGUUUCCUUAAAACACCUUGAGAGGGCAACCCUGCAAAGCCCAGCACAGUGGCCGAGAGGGAAAGGAGCAUUAGAAGUCUGAGUCCUUGCUCUGAGCCUACUUCUCUGCUUCUGGGCUCCAACCAUCUUUGUGGAAAGGGGACUGCUAGUGACACCUUCUCAAGGGUCUUUCCAGCUGUAGGUUGGCUGUGCUGGAGUCCAGGAUUUGCCCACUGAGAAAUCUGUUUCCGAGUUCCUUCAACCUGAUGCAUCCUGCAGCAUCACGGCGCCUGUUCAGAGUGGUCAGAAGGCCCCUGAAUGCGCUCAGUAGAGGGAAGCCUGGGAACAGGGAGGCACCUGCAGCUCUACUCAUGGCCUGGCCAGAGCUCAGCAGCUCUUCUUGCCAUCUAGUGGGGCAGACCAUCACUGGGGACUACCCUGUGCAAACUGGUGAGCCUGAGUGCCUGUCACAGAGGAAAGAAAGGCGGGGGAUACAGGAUUUAGAUGAAAUAGCAACUCCGAACCCUAUCGUCAACAUCAUCCAGCUUUUUCAAAACAUUGUACUGAUUUUUUUUUUUGUUUUUGACAAAACAAAACUGCGUCACCAAGGCUGGAAUGCAGCGGCAUGAUCUCGGCUCACUGCAGCCUCUGUCUCCCUGGUUCAAGCAAUUCUUCUGCCUCAGCCUCCCAAGUAGCUGGGACUACAGGCAUGCGCAACCACAGCCAGCUAAUUUUUGUAUUUUUUAAGUAGAGUCAGAGUUUUACCAUGUUGGCCAGGCUGGUCUUAAACUCCUGGCCUCAACUGAUCUGCCUGCCUCGGCCUCCCAAAGAACUGGGAUUACAGGCAUGAGGCACCAUGCCUGUCCCAUGUUGUACUUAAUGGAUAUUUACCAUACACAAUUAUUUUUUAAUUUAAAUAAAUCAAUGAACAGUGUUAUUUUAAAAAUCUUGUGGCUUUAAUACACCCUUUCUAUUCUCAGGGAGUGUUUUGGGGAUACAGGCUGGGGAGUUAAAUAAAUGAAUGAAUAAACUUAGUUGUUAUCCAUUCAAACAUUUGUUGAGCACCAACCUGUCUAAGGCACUGUGCUAGGCAGUGCCCGGUGUUAUUAAGAUGAAGUACGUGUUUGGUUCCUGGGUGUAAGGAGGUGACAAUCUAGAAGGAAGAUUUUUAAUUUCAUUCUGUGCCCAAAACACCUAUUCUAGGAAUUUGUCAUCUUCCUCCCUGCUGGCAUUUCUGGGUGGGGCAGGAGAGGGAAGCUCCCUCCAUGGAGAUGCCUCUUCCCUCCUCUGACUCUUACAGCUUCCUCCGUCUUCACUUUCCUACACUGAGGACAUCUAAAAAUAUAAUCUUGAUCAUUGUGUAACAAUGUUCAAGUAAUGGCUAGCAUCUGCACAACCAUCCCUGCUUUAAAUUCUCCUUUACAACAUCUCAGUUAAGCCUCAUGACUGCAGUGGGCGUUCUCACCACCCCCAUUUCAGAACUGGGAGGACUGGGGCUCUGAGGGAAGCCGCUGGCCUGAGGUCCCAGAGCCCCUUAUCUGACACAGCUGGCUCUCAGCCGGCUUCUGAGUCCUGGUCUGGUCCAGUCUCCUCUCUCUUCAUGCCUACAAGUCUUGACCUAACCCAAGGCGGACAUUACCUCCCUCUCUGCCACUCCUUCAAUAUCAGCCCAGGAGUAUGGACAAAAUGAGCAGCUCGUUAAUUGACUGUGCGGAGAUAAAGAGGGAAGGGGUAGGGGAGUGGAGGUUGGAAGCCAUUCCUUCCUCCAUCUCAGGUUCUAGAUGGAAACACAGCUCAGGAACAUACCUGGGCUUUUCCUUAUGUGCAGAAAGGGGUCAGAUGUUUUCAGCCAUCUCUCUAGCUUUCAUAGACUAGGCCAGGAAAGGGCACAACGAAUCAAGUCCACGAAUCCCGCCAUGAAGGUACGUGGGAAGUGCCCACAUUGCUGUCAGAAUCAGAGACCUUGACCAUCUCUCCUACCUUAGUUGGCAGAUGCUAAGAAAAGCAGCAUUGUAUGCAGCAUCAUGACCAGUGACUACACCGAUAAUAAAAGCCGCCAUUUACGGAGUGCCUGUGAUGUGCCAGGCUACUAGCCAGGUGCUUCCCAUACAUAACAGCUAAUAAGAGUGACAGCCAGAAUCUGAGAUGCUGCUCCUGGGUCAGACUUUACAGGCAUCUUCCCACUUGAUCCUCACAGCUUUGUGAGGAUGUGGCCUGUCAUCACCCUACGUCUAUAGAGAAGCAAUCUUAGAAAGGGUGUCACCUACCCAGGCCCACAGUGAGGAAGUGGCUAAGAUACAAGGCCAGGUCAGCCUAACUCCAGAGACUGCUGCAGUCUAUGGCCUCUCCGCGCCACCUGGGUCCCCAUCUGCCUUCUUAAGGGACCCCACAAGGACCAAACUCCAGCUCCUGCUGGCUAGAUGCUUACCUUCUUUGCUGUUUCAAAAUCUAAACCUUCUAGCGCUUCCAUGGCCAGUUCACGCCAAUCAGUGUCUGUGACACCCAAGCAAGCAAUCUGGUAGGCUUCCUUGAACAGUUUCCUAUCCAGGUACUGGUACAUGGGAGCGGACUGCAGGAUUUCAUCAAGGAAAAAAAGACCGUUUUCAGAGCCAUGGAAAGAACCAGAUGCAUACUGAGCCUGCCUCCAGAUGCAUGGGACAAUCACCCAUGCCUGGGGAGCAGCCCUGCAGCCACCAAUCAGCACCCUGCCCAGCCUGCCCAGCCCACCCUGUGUGCUCCGUCCUGCACCUCUCUCACGGCUGGGCCACUGUGCUCCACAGCGCAAACUCUCUGCCCAUCCUCGCCUCCUUCCCACCUGCAGGCCUGCCUCGCCACAGGAUGUCACCCUCGCCUGGCAUGCCUUUGCCCCUCCCCACUCUCUCUCUGGAAAAUACCCAUUUGGCUUUCAAGGCCCUGUUGAAAUGCCACCUCUUCUGGAGAGUCCUCCCGAGCCCCUCAAGCCCCCCACCCCAGGGGAAAGAGUCUCAGCUUCCUCUGCCCUUUGUCCAGAUCUCAGGUUGUGCCGCAUUUAGAGGCCUGUUCCCACAGCAAAGCCAUGCACAGCCCGUGGGCAGUGGUGGGUUGUAUCGGCCUCCCUCAGCAGACCCCCAGUCUAUGUUUGCUGACAGAAUGAAUGAGUUCCUGGGAGGAAGGGGUCUGGGAUGGCCUCUUCUUCCAGGGACUGAGUCCAAGAAAGGUAAGUGAUUUGCUCCAAGUUACCCUGGAAGCCCCUGGAAACAGGUCUCCUGCUUCCUGCCCUGGGGACAGAUGCCCUCCUACAAGAUGGGGUUGCCUUGCUGUAAGUGCCCAUGAAUAAUUCCUAACGACUUCUCUUUCUUAGGUUUAUAAAGGGCUUUUGGCUGUCCCCAUAGUCCUGUGCAGUAGGUGUUAUUUCUCCCUGGCUACAGCAAAGGAGACCGAGACUCAGAGAGGACAACAGACCUGUCCCAGCAAAUAGCUGGCAAAUGGAGAACCUCAGGGUAGAGCCAGAGGUUCCUUGACUCCAGGUUCUGUGCCCCUUCUUGCCAUGUAUGUGGUCGUGUGUAUAUGUGCAUAUGUGUGUACAUGUUACCGGUGGAGGGUCUUGACCACAAGCCAUCAGGUUCUUGGUGUUUUCAACAAAGAAUUGAACAAAACACACAAACAAAGCAAUGAAGGAAUGAAGCAACAAAAGCACAGAUUUAUUGAAACAAAAGUACACUCCACAGAGUGACAGCAGGCUUGAGGAAGCGGCUCAAGAGCACCAGUUGCAAAAUCUUCUAGGGUUUGAGUACCCUCCAGAGGUUUCCCGUUGGUUACUUUGUUAUACCCUACGUAAAUGAAGGAGUGGUACACAACCAUUGUGAUUGGUUGCAGGAGGGGACCAAUCAGAGGUACUUUUUAUUUUUUAUCUGCUAUGCAGUGCAAAGGGACUAGCCUCUGAUCCUUUUGUUACUUGGGUGUGGAGAGGUGAGGUUUUUCUUUUGAUUCAGUUCUAGGAAGUCAGCAUGAAUCAGCCUUAGGUUCCCUCCCUCCAGACCCUAUUCUCCUGUGUCAUGCGGGAACAAGUCUGUGUUUGGCCAGGACAUCUUUAACAAGGAAAGGCCUUGCCCUUGUUUUAGGCCAGCCAGUGUGCUUCAGGGGCCUGCAUCUCUCCUGGCUUCCUGGGCAGGAAAGAGCAGUCACCCGGGACCUAUGUGCUAAUGGUUUCCAAAUGUGGAUGUGGAAGUGCUGUUUUCUCUGUUUGCGGCCUUUAUCUUUGAAAUUUCCAGUCCCAUUUUUUAGUUUUAGUAUUGAAGGCAAGUUUUUUCUCUUUAAGCUUGUGUGAACCAAAAGUAAAAUUCUAAGCCCUCUGUGCCUCCAUUCAAUGAACCCCUCCCCUUGGAGAAGGGGAAUUCCAAAAAACCCCUAAAAAACUAGUUUCAACCAUCAUGGGCAUAAGGGGUCAGGCAUGCCUCAUUUUACCCUCCUCCCUUUAGAGUUUAGACACAAUAGACCAGUAUUAACAAGAAAACUGGGGUCUCAAGACUGACAAAACAGACUGUAGCAAUGAGGCAGGAUAGUACAGUCUGGAGGCAGGGAACUUAAGGCCAAUUCAUGCUGAAUCAAGGAGAAACACCAAGGUCUGGGGGGAAGCAGGGAAUCUGAGGCCAAUUCGUGCUGACUUCCCAAAGCUGGAUCAAAAGGGAAACACCUGGGUCUGGAGGCAGGGGCCCUAAGGCCAAUUAAUGCCAACUUCUUGAAGCUAAACCGAAAGGAAAAACCCAGCUCCCCGUGCCUAAGUAGCAAAGGGUCAAAGGUUACUCUUUCUACACCCCUCCCCCUUCCACCACGGCUUAGACAAAAAGGGAGAGUGGCUUGGAGUGGCCACAGGCCACGCAGGGAGCAUCCCUGCAUCAGCAUAGGGUGCCAUUCACCUCAGUCUUAGCCACAGACCAAAUCCUUCAACCAUAUAAAGGGUAAUUGAUAGGAACCUCAAAAGGGGUACUUGAAACCCAGAAAACUGUAAUUGGGCCCUUGAGCUGCUCAGGCCCAGUCCCACCCUGUGGAGUACCUUCUCUCUUUUAUAAAUCCCUGAUUUUGGUACUUCGAUCCUGUGUUUCAUUCCUUUGUUACUUAGUACGUUUUGUCCAAUUUUUUGUUCAAAACACCGAGAACCUAGACAACUUACACCCAGGGCCCUCCUUCCAGUAACAGCAGUAGAACACUGUAUUUCAACUUAACUCUGAUAUACCAUUGAUGGCAGUGGCUACUCCAGAUCACUGAGUUUUGGACAAUGAAAUGUAGCCAACUGUUCAACUGUAGCUCCCAGCUGCAGCAGGGAGAUGUGGCUGGGGCUGCACACUCCAUGAAGCCCUUCCAAGUUGGGGUGGGAGCUCUCCAGGUGCCACUGCAGCUGCCCAAACCAUUGGGUUGCAGACCUGGGCCUCCCACUCCACAGAGAAGGCAGGAGCCCUGCCCUCCAGGGCAGGGCUGUAGCUGCCCAACUUGUGGCUGCAGGUCUGAGCCUCCCUGUGCUCUUGGGAGGCCAAGAGCAAGCAGGAUCCCUGCCCUCCCAGGCACAGCUGUAGCUGCCCAAACCAUGGCUGCAGACUUAGGCACCCCUGCACUCUUGGGGGCCAGGAAGCACCCCUUGCCCUUGCAGGCUCAGCAGUGCCUGCUCCCAUUGCCUGGCUUCUCCCUGCUGUUGGUGCCCACUCCAAUCUUGGAGGAAUGUUGGGGCCAAGCUCAGGUGUCAUGAAGGCAGCAGGAGGCAGACAGAUUCUUGGAUGGAAGGGGGCAGGUCCCCAGUGAGGCCCCACCUUCAGGCCAGGGAGGGUCUGAAGGCUGGGAGCCAAGCUGCCAGUCCCACGGACUGGACUGGGAACUUGUGGUGCCUUUUCCAGGCCCACUCAAGUACCAAUCAGCAUACACUUUCUCCCCUCUGAGGCCCAUAAAAACCUCAGGCUCAGCCAGAGCUAAGCAGACUACAGGAUGACCAGCUGCAGAGAAGAGCUACCCUUUCUGCUGAGAGCUUCACAGACCUGCAGAGACUUUGGGACUACCAGCUUCAGAGAGGAGCAACCCACUCCAGGGCUUCCUCUCUGCUAGGAGUUGGGCAGAUGUCGGGAUGACCAGUAGAGAGAGGAGCUACCCUCUCCAGGGGCUCCAAUCUGCUGAGAGCUGCAGAGACAGUGAAAUGACCUGCCUGCAGAGAGGAGCCACCCUCUCCAGGGCCUCCUUUCUGCUGAGAGCUGAACACUCCACAGGACCACCUGCUUACAGAGAGGAGCUACCCAUUGUGGGUCUCCUCUGAGCUGUCUUAACACUCAAUAAAUCUCCUCUUCAUCUUGCUCACCC